rnacentral:rRNA from 1 species
CAGUAGCCACGGUAAUACGGAGGAUCCAAGCGUUAUCCGGAAUCAUUGGGUUUAAAGGGUCCGUAGGCGGUCUUGUAAGUCAGUGGUGAAAGCCCAUCGCUCAACGGUGGAACGGCCAUUGAUACUGCAGGACUUGAAUUAUUGGGAAGUAACUAGAAUAUGUAGUGUAGCGGUGAAAUGCUUAGAGAUUACAUGGAAUACCAAUUGCGAAGGCAGGUUACUACCAAUUGAUUGACGCUGAUGGACGAAAGCGUGGGUAGCGAACAGGAUUAGAGACCCCCGUAGUCCCUGUCUCUUAUAA